AAUCCAUUGUGCGGGCAGUCGUGAACUAAUCUCUUGAACCUCGCCCAUGCAUCACCGAGUGAUUCGUCUUCUUCUUGUUCAAAAUUGAUGAUUAACUUCCUUAUUCU